AGCUCGCAAAUUGUGAUAAAUAAUGCUACAACUUUACGCAAAAUUUUAUCGAGGAAAAAGUGGCAUGGCCAUUUUCAAAGGGGUCCCUUGACCUCUGAUCUCAAGAUAUGUGAAUGAAAAUGGGUUCUAUGGGUACCCACGAGUCUCCCCUUUACAGACAUGCCCACUUUAUGAU